CCUACGGGAGGCAGCAGUAGGGAAUAUUGCUCAAUGGGGGAAACUCUGAAGCAGCAACGCCGCGUGGAGGAUGAAGGUUUUAGGAUUGUAAACUCCUUUUGUGAGAGAAGAUAAUGACGGUAUCUCACGAAUAAGCACCGGCCAACUCCGUGCCAGCAGCCGCGGUAAUACGGAGGGUGCAAGCGUUACUCGGAAUCACUGGGCGUAAAGAGUGCGCAGGCGGGCUUGUAAGUCAGAUGUGAAAUCCUGUAGCUUAACUACAGAACUGCAUUUGAAACUAUGAGUCUAGAGUGUGGGAGAGGUAGGUGGAAUUCUUGGUGUAGGGGUAAAAUCCGUAGAUAUCAAGAGGAAUACUCAUUGCGAAGGCAGCUUGCUGCAGCGGAACUGACGCUGAUGCUCGAAAGCGCGGGUAUCGAACAGGAUUAGAUACCCUUGUAGUC
rnacentral:rRNA from 1 species